rnacentral:rRNA from 1 species
UACGUAGGGUGCAAGCGUUAAUCGGAAUUACUGGGCGUAAAGCGUGCGCAGGCGGUUGUGCAAGACCGAUGUGAAAUCCCCGGGCUUAACCUGGGAAUGGCAUUGGUGACUGCACGGCUAGAGUGUGUCAGAGGGGGGGUAGAAUUCCACGUGUAGCAGUGAAAUGCGUAGAGAUCGGAAAGAACACCAACGGCGAAAGCACUCUGCUGGGCCGACACUGACACUGAGAGACGAAAGCUAGGGGGAGCGAAUGGG